GAGGUCCCUGUGUGCCUGAGGCCUUCUGAAGAGUGAUGCCAGGCACUGUUCUGCUGCACUUCUCCUCUAGCAGUCUCUGCUUGGGACUUAAACUAGUACAGUUCGAAUUACCUGAAUUAUACCACCAACUUCCUGGGAACACAAGCUUUGACCCCUCUGAAGAAAACCUCAGAACAGCAACAGUUAAAUAACUGCUUGGAACAUUCCUUUCUCUUUACCCUUUCCAUAAACAGGUGUGAACUCCACAAAUUAUAUGGAAGCACUAGGACUCCACAGAAUUUGGGCUUCAGGCAUCAUUUGUUACUGGUGAAAUUACAGAGAGUGCCCGAUGUGGAUGGAUGGGGCAAAUGCGUAAAGUCUUCGUACAAAAUUCUGCCUUCCUAGCUGCUCUUAUGAUACAGGCCAACUGUGUGGUCUCAACGUUGCCUUGUGGCUUUUAACUGUAGCCCCUGUGAUGUGUAGCAGCCAAAAACCACGUCUCUGGCCACAGAUCCCAGCAAAGAGGAUGUGCCCUCAGUGUGUAACUUGAGCUAGGGGAGUGUUAUGCUUUGCUUUGUGAUGUGCCACAUCCUGAAUUCUCUGCUUUUCCAGGGUUCUCCAUGUUACAAGCAAUGUAGCAUAAGGUUCAGCUCCACUCAUGCUCUUUUCCAAUGAUUUUCAUUUUGAAGUUGGCCUGACUUUCACAGAGUAAACUUGGAGUAUAUAGAGAAAGCUGUGAUAUGCCUUCUGCACUUCAGCUCAUGGAUUGAUUCAUGUCAAGAUUCUAAAGAUUUUAAAAUUUAAAAUCAAAUUAAGGAAUACGUGGUGCUUGGCAGUGGCACAUAGGGUUGGAAAAAUGCAUUCAAUUGUUUAAGUGCUAGACAAAUUUUCACAGCCUUUGAUUUAAUCUCUAGAGCAUUGACAGGAAGAUUUGGCCCAGUACUUCCCUAUUUAGCUGUGCUAUUUGGCUACCAGACUGGAACAGAGAACAGCAGGUAUUAUCAUGUUAGUGGAAGGCAUCCUACAGCAAGUUCUGUCCUAGGAUGAAGCUGAACAAUGAAGAAGCAACUAUUUCUUGCCUGACUGAAAACAGCUGGUAAAAUUGGACUUGCCAGAAUGCAAAAAUCUCAUAUUUGUUUCUUAGGAGUAGAUGUCAGACUGUGUUCUUCUGCCUGUGAGAAUCCCCAUGCUGCUUAGUGCUCAGCACAUGAAACAUCAUCCAUGGAAAAACUUCUAACCUGCAAUGCAGGCAUGGCCUUAAGUGCUGUGACUGUCCAGAGAACAGGACCUUCUGAAGCUAUGAAUGAGACUCAUUUCUAUGUUUUUCUUCCUCCAUUAUCUUAUUACUUGAGACCCUGUAAAUAAACUAUACAAGUGCCAAUGAACUUGAUUUUACUGUCAAAGUUUUCAGGAAACGUUUAGCCAAGAUGCUGUUAUACGACAUCUUGUGUGGAUUGGAAAAUGUGAUGCUUUCCUCUUUCUGCAGUGAUAUUUCCAUUCUGUUCUGUAUGAUUCAGCUAAGGAAAUGCAAGUCUUCUUUCUGAUAUAACUGUAAAGAGAUUUAUA